CGGACAGUUCGUUGAGCGCUCGCCGGUGAAGAGUGACUGGAGCAGCUCGCGCUUCUCGGUCGAGGCGUCUGCCGCUCAGGACGACGGUGUCUCUGCCGUCGGCGCCGCCGCCCCGAUGGUGGUGGUGCUGCCCGACCCACAGCUGGCGGCACUCUCCGUGUUCGACGGAGAGACGCAGCCGCUGUGAGCGCAAACAGCGCCAUCUCAGGAGCACCUGGAGAGGUCCGUCGCCGCGCGAUGCGCCCGCCAUCUCGUGGCCGGCUCGUCAAGCUCGCUUUGGGCGAGUGGCCGCCGGGCGGGCCUCGGCCAGCUGAGUACAAAGGUCCGGAGAAGUCUCGCUGGCGGGAGUGUGCGCGGUCGGGGCGUCACGCCAACGGCGCGCGACGACGCUGGCGCCUCUGGCGUACACCGCGCCAACUGAACAAAAGCCGUGCCUGUGUGGAUGUGGCCAGGACUUGUCAUGGCAAAGUCAUUGGCCCUGAGGCUGUACAUGAUAUUGGCCCCUGAGACCGUGCACGACCUGGGCCUCUGUGAGACCACAUGACCUGGGCCCCUGAGACUGUACAUGACCUGGGCCCCUGAGACUGUACAUGACCUGGGCCUCUGUGAGCCUGUACAUGACCUGGGCCUUCGCGAGACUGUACAGGACCCGGCCUCCGUGAGACCGCACAAUUCUCGGGUCUCUGUGAGACUGCAGAAUCCGAGCCUCCGUGAGGACGGCGGCGCAUCGCCGCGCCGCCGCUGGCUCUCCUGAGGAUAUCCGGUGGCAUCCGCAUGAUAUCCAGGAGCAGGCGGUCGCCAGACGCGGCGCGCCGGCCGGCGGCGGCGCCGCGUGAGUGAGGCUGGCGUUUGUACCUGUUGACUUGCCGACCUGCCAAGCCCUGCUGGCAGCGACGCGGAGCGUUUGAGCCGUUUUCGUGAUUGUCACACUGUUCUCACUGAUCUGUUUUUUGUUUGUUUUUUUAGUAGAUUUGUAGCGCGUGAGUGAGCGGCUUGAUGGCGCCGGCGCGGGACGUCGUGCGCAUGCGCAGCUCGGCUCCUGACGGCGUCGGUCUGGCCUGUACAUACAUCUGUAAGACUAUGCACACCGAAAUACAUGCUUUAUUUCCUUUC